UACGAAGGGGGCUAGCGUUGCUCGGAAUCACUGGGCGUAAAGGGUUGCGUAGGCGGGUCUUUAAAGUCAGGGGUGAAAUCCUGGAGCUCAACUCCAGAACUGGCCUUUGAUACUGAGGAUCUUGAGUUCGGGAGGAGGUGAGUGGAACUGCGAGUGUAGAGGUGAAAUUCGUAGAUAUUCGCAAGAACACCAGUGGCGAAGGCGGCUCACUGGCC
rnacentral:rRNA from 1 species